GCUCAGUUGGUAGAGCACAAGGCUCUUAACCUUAUGGACGUGGGUUCGAGCCCCAU
rfam:Triticum aestivum genome assembly, contig: Triticum_aestivum_CS42_TGACv1_scaffold_222976_3B